AUUGAACGCUGGCGGCAUGCCUUACACAUGCAAGUCGAACGGCAGCACGGGUGCUUGCACCUGGUGGCGAGUGGCGAACGGGUGAGUAAUACAUCGGAACAUGUCCUGUAGUGGGGGAUAGCCCGGCGAAAGCCGGAUUAAUACCGCAUACGAUCUACGGAUGAAAGCGGGGGACCUUCGGGCCUCGCGCUAUAGGGUUGGCCGAUGGCUGAUUAGCUAGUUGGUGGGGUAAAGGCCUACCAAGGCGACGAUCAGCAGCUGGUCUGAGAGGACGACCAGCCACACUGGGACUGAGACACGGCCCAGACUCCUACGGGAGGCAGCAGUGGGGAAUUUUGGACAAUGGGCGAAAGCCUGAUCCAGCAAUGCCGCGUGUGUGAAGAAGGCCUUCGGGUUGCAAAGCACUUUUGUCCGGAAAGAAAUCCUUGGCCCUAAUACGGUCGGGGGAUGACGGUACCGGAAGAAUAAGCACCGGCUAACUACGUG
rnacentral:rRNA from 1 species